rnacentral:lncRNA from 1 species
GGAGAUCGAGUGACCCUGUUUGAGGACUUUCAGCUAUGCAAACUCGGGCAGCUCGAAGUUCUGCUCCAGCCAUGAAACGACGCACCACUUUUGCCUACUUCUAUUAAAAUCAUUGCACAUAGUUUGCAGCAGGAUCUUGAAUUUUUUUUUAUUGAAUUAUAGAUAGGGAAAUUAAUUAGUUCUAUCUUUGAGAGAUUAGGAAAACGGAGGGGGA